CCCUUCCACAUUAAAAGAACCCUGCUAUAAUUGCAUGAUCCAGAGUUCUGUUUCGUGCGAUAAUGCUAGCAGGGUAUCGACGUGGAAGAAGAUGAUUGCUCACUGUGCUGGAAAUGAGAUGCGGUCGAACCUCUUUCUUAAUGUUCGGUGGCCGCUUUCUCAAGGCUCAGUGUUACACUU